UUGCUCCGCUGACGACCGGCGCACGGGUGCGUAACGCGUAUACAUCUACCUUUUGCUGCGGGAUAGCCCAGAGAAAUUUGGAUUAACACCGCAAGUAUAAAGACUUGGCAUCGAGACUUUAUUAAAGGUUACGGCAAAAGAUGAGUAUGCGUUCUAUUAGCUAGAUGGUGUGGUAACGGCACACCAUGGCAACGAUAGAUAGGGGCCCUGAGAGGGGGAUCCCCCACACUGGUACUGAGACACGGACCAGACUCCUACGGGAGGCAGCAGUGAGGAAUAUUGGACAAUGGGCGAGAGCCUGAUCCAGCCAUGCCGCGUGCAGGAAGACUGCCCUAUGGGUUGUAAACUGCUUUUAUACGGGAAGAAACACCGCUACGUGUAGCGGCUUGACGGUACCGUAAGAAUAAGGAUCGGCUAACUCCGUGCCAGCAGCCGCGGUAAUACGGAGGAUCCAAGCGUUAUCCGGAAUCAUUGGGUUUAAAGGGUCCGUAGGUGGAUAAUUAAGUCAGAGGUGAAAUCCUGCAGCUCAACUGUAGAAUUGCCUUUGAUACUGGUUAUCUUGAAUCAUUAUGAAGUAGUUAGAAUAUGUAGUGUAGCGGUGAAAUGCAUAGAUAUUACAUAGAAUACCAAUUGCGAAGGCAGAUUACUAAUAAUGUAUUGACACUGAUGGACGAAAGCGUGGGGAGCGAACAGGAUUAGAUACCCUGGUAGUCCACGCCGUAAACGAUGGAUACUAGCUGUUCGGAUUUAUCUGAGUGGCUAAGCGAAAGUGAUAAGUAUCCCACCUGGGGAGUACGUUCGCAAGAAUGAAACUCAAAGGAAUUGACGGGGGCCC
rnacentral:rRNA from 1 species